rnacentral:rRNA from 1 species
AUGGUCCUUGCAUGCAGCAUCUUCCUCAAAGCUACACGGCUACUUGGCUACUCUUUCUCACCCACCCACCUCCUCCUGCUCUCUCUGGUCCUCCUGGCCAUGGUGGCAGCCGUCGUGAACCGCCCACGGUCCGUGUACCUCGUGGAUUAUGCUUGCUUCCUUCCGAGUCCCACCUGGCGUUUCCCUAACUCCGCAUUCAUCGAGUACGCUCGCCUCGUACCCGCGUUCGCGGACGAUCGCACUGUCGGUUUCGUCACGCGGGUGCUCGGAAGCAGCGGUCUCGGCAAUGAGACCAGCCUGCCACCGGGCGACCACUACAUCCCGCCAGACAACAACCUUGUCGUAGCCCGAGCCGAGGCGGAGCUGGUCAUCUUCUCGACCAUCGACGACCUGUUCGCCAAGGCAGGCAUCACCCCUGAUGCAGUCAGCAUCGUCGUCAUCAACUGCAGCGUCUUCGCCCCCGUGCCGUCCCUCAGCGACAUGAUCGUCAACAGAUACAAACUCCGCAGCGAUGUCCGCUGUGUAAAUCUGUCUGGGAUGGGCUGUAGCGCGGGGCUGAUCUCGGUGGGGCUCGCUGCCGGCCUACUUCGUGCAGCGCCCCACGGUGCUGCUCCUGCCCACGCUCUGGUCGUGUCCACGGAGACCAUCACGCCCAACCUGUACCUCGGCAGGGGGCGUUCCAUGCUGCUGUCCAACAUGCUCUUUCGGGUGGGCGGCGCCACCGUGCUGCUGUCCACGUCCAAGGAUAGGGGGCGGUUUCGACUCGCCCACCUCGUGCGGACGAUCACCGGCGGCGCGCAGGACAGCUCCUACCAGUGCAUCUUCCAGGAGGAGGACGACGAAGGCAACUUAGGGGUCAAACUUUCCAGGAACCUCAUGUGCGUCGCCGGUGACGCGCUCAAGGCCAACAUCACAGCCCUUGGCCCGCUCGUGCUCCCCUUCUUCGAGUAGCUGCGCUUCGUCGCCAACAAGCUGCUGCUCAAGCUGGGCCGGCGAGGCGGCGUGAAGGUGAAGCCUUACGUCCCCGACUUGUGCAAGGCGUCCCAUCACGUGUGCAUCCAUGGAGGGGGGCGCGCGGUCGUCGACGAGGUCCAGUCUGGCCUCGGGCUGUCGGACGAGCACGUGGAGCCAUCUCGCAUGGCGCUUCACCGGUUCGGGAACACGUCGAGCAGCUCGGUGUGGUACGAGAUGGCGUACCUCGAGCCCAAGGGCCAGGUGCGGAAGGGCGACCGUGUCUGGAUGGUUGGCCUCGGAGCUGGGGUCAAGUGCAACAGCGCCGUGUGGGAUUGCAUCCGCCCGGCAGCCAGGCUGGACAAGGCGUGGGCGGGGUGCAUACAUCGCUACCCAAUCAACGUCCCUCAUGCCGACGUCAACAUGGCAGCUGAGAGCGAUCCCAUAAUUGCAGUCUAA